rnacentral:ncRNA from 1 species
UUAAUAGUUUUAAUUAUAAAGAUUUAUUCUUUCUUAAUAACUUAUUGAAAAUUAAUUUUACAUGUAAAUUUUUGUAUGAACUAUAUAUAAUUUAAAAAAUUAUAUAAUAAUAUUUAUUCGCAGUAAUUAAUAUUAAUUAUUAAAGAAAUUUAGAAUUAGUUAUAUUUUAUAGUAUUAGCAAAAUUUGUGCCAGCAGCUGCGGUUACACAAAUAAUAUAAAUAAGUUUUUUUAGUUUUAGUUAAAUUGUUAUAUUAAAAAUUUUAAUUUUAAUUUGUUAGGUGAAAUUUUAAAUUAAAAUAAUUUUUGUAGAUAAUAUAUAUAUAUAUAUAUAAAUAAAUUUAUUGAAGCUAAUAAAAUUUUAUUAAAAACUAGGAUUAGAUACCCUAUUAUUUAAAAAGUAAGAUUAAUAAAUUAGAGUAGUAAUAGAUAUAGUCUUGAAACUUAAAGAAUUUGGCGGUAUUUUAGUCUAUUCAGAGGAAUUUGUCCUAUAAUCGAUAAUCCGCGAUUUACCUUACUUAAAUUAGUAUUCAAUUUGUAUACCGUCGUCAUCAGAAUAUUUUAGAAAAAUUUUUAAUUUUCUAGUAUAUAUAAUAAUAAUUAUGUCAGAUCAAGGUGCAGUUUAUGUUUAAGAAAGAGAUGAAUUACAAUAAAUUUAUUUAAAUGGAUAUUAUAUUGAAAUAUAUGGUUGAAGGUGGAUUUGAUAGUAAAAUUUAUAAUUAUAUAAUUUUGAUUAAAGCUCUAAAAUAUGCACAUAUCGCCCGUCGCUCUUAUUAAUAAAAUAAGA